UAUAGUCUGCAUCUGAGUACCGAGGCGACGGUGGUGUAGUGAUGGUGGUGGUGGUGGUUCCAGAGCUUAACCGAAUCCUUUUUUUGAAUAAAAUGGAGGCGGCUUUGGGACUGAUGCGAUGGAUUCAUCCUAAGCACUCGGAGAUGGCUCUCUCCGCACUGCUUGGUCUCCUCUGAUCACCUCUCUCAACUCAAUCAAUCUAUCUAGAAAUGGACGGUGUUGAUGAUUAGAAGAAGAAUCUAAAGGAGGAAAAGCUUCGAUUUUAAGGAAAUAUAAUUUUUGUCGAAACUAGCACUAUGGUUAGUGAGAGUGUGGUAUCUAAAAUAGCACAAAGUGGGCAAGAGGAGCAAAACAAUGAAACCUAGAAGGAGAGUGGGGCUUCAAAGCCCUAGCCGGAGGAGGAUUCAAAGUCUAGACAUAAUGACCUCAUGCUCAAGUCUGCUGAUCCAAACAACCAAGAAUUUGAGUGGAAGAAGCAAAUGUUUACAGUUUUGGAAUUGUUGCCUUGGAAAUUGUCAGUGGAAGAAGCAACAUUACUUAUAGGCCAAAAGAAGAAUGCAUCUAUCGUCUUGAUUGGGAAGCAUCUUCAAGGAUGAAUGGCUGUCUGAACUACAAGCGGCACUCAUUAAAAGGGAAGGGGAAUUUGAUGGGUCUAGUCGACCCCAGAUUGGGCUUAGACUUCAACAAGGAAGAGAUCAUGGUGAUGAUCAACAUAGCUCUCCUGUGCACAAACGUCUCUCCAGCAGUCAGGCCAGCUAUGCCAUCAGUUGUGAACAUGCUUGAAGGCAGAAUUGCUGUUCCGGACAUUUGUUUCUGAUCCCAGUGCUCCUUGUGAUGACUUAAAGCUCAAGGAGAUGAUAUCGCUACGUCCAAGAAAAGAGCAUGGGUUUAGCAGUGGUGUGGCAUCUUAUUCAUACUAAGCUGAGUGUGUUAAAGGAUGUAAUGUUGAUAUUAAAUGAUUAAAGUAUUAAUAUUCUUUGUGUGAAUUUAUAGGCUUUAAUUGUUUUUAGCUAAGUUCAUCUUUUGUUUUUUUUUUUUUUUAUAUUGAUCCUAAUUCAUGUCAAGUUAAUGAUUCA